rnacentral:lncRNA from 1 species
CACUUUUAAUAUUUCGUAAAUAAAAGUAAGUUAAUGGAUGGCGGAUAGUUGGAAACUUUUCUGCUAAAGACACAGCCUGUCAGCUCCCUGAGGAUCCUCCAUUUGGCAUUUCCUCCUGUCUCUUUGCAGUGUCUUAAGGAAAAAGCAUGUAUCUGGGCCCAGCCAUCUCUUCGUUUCCCAACAGACCUUGUAAUUAUUAAUGUAGAGAUUCCAGAGACGGCAGAAUUAACAAUCUCUAUAAAGAUCAGUGUGCACGAGAAUGAGGGCACUGCAGCUUGCACUCCCACACUCAGGGUGGUGGUGAGGUGUAGCCCAUCAAGUCAGGGGACCGUCUCUGUCCUGAUCAUGGCACCUGUGUCGUCGCCCCUCCUCCCGGCUGAGUCGGGGGCCAUCUCCUUUCCGAGGUCCAGGAGUGCAGGACCCGAGCAUCUCCAUCAGGGAGGAGGGGAGGACCCCGAGUUGUCCCCAUGGCCACAGCCCCACAUGCACGGCCCUGUCUUCCCAUGGAGACUGGUCCCUCAGAGAACUGACAAGUAGGGGCAACUGAAAGCCAAGUGCCCAACAGAGGGGUGGGCUGUGUGACUUGGGGGGCACAGAAGUUUCUGUGUGAAGGAACAUCUCAGACGGAACCUUCUCUACGAAGACACAGGCUGGCGUGGUGCUGGGGCAGGACUGCGGAAGAGCAUGGAGUCCCUCAACCACGACUUCCUGGGCAUUUCCUGCAUGCUUCCCAGGAUGCCUGGUGGAGAGGUGGCUGCGGCUGGUGACGGCUCUAGUCUAGAAGUCAGGAGGCGCCAGGCAGGGAGCCACAGCUGCUGUCAGCGCUUGUCUUCCUGGACAUCCUUGUGACUGAACAAGCUCAGAGGAGGAGGGCCUCCUCAUGGGUGUGGAUGUGUAAUGCUCUAUGCCGUGAUAAUGUUAGAGAAGAUGGGUGGAUGGGUGGAUGGAUGAAUGGACUGACAGAAAAGGAGGAAGGGAAAGGAAUGAAGGGGAAAGGGGAAAGGUGGAUGGAUGGGUGAUGGAGAGAUAGGAAGAAGGGAAAAGGAAGAAGGGAAAGGGAAGGAUGGAUGGGUACAUGAUAUCUACAGAUGGUACAUAAAUGAUAGAAGCAGAUACAGGUAGACAGAUGAUAGACGUGAUGGAUAGAUGGAUGGAUGAAUGGAUAAUAGACAGGUAAGGGUCAGUCAGUCAGUUCAGUCGCUCAGUCGUGUCCGACUCUUUGUGAUCCCA